UCCGGCUUGUCACCGGCAGUUUCUUCAGAGUGCCCAACUAAAUGCUGGCAACUAGUGGCGAGGGUUGCGCUCGUUGCGGGACUUAACCCAACACCUCACGGCACGAGCUGACGACAGCCGUGCACCACCUCGCACCCUGCCCCGAAGGGAGACCGGCUUUCACCGGCUGUCAGGGCACGUUCAAGCCCAGGUAAGGUUCUUCGCGUCGCAUCGAAUUAAACCACACGCUCCGCUGCUUGUGCGGGCCCCCGUCAAUUCCUUUGAGUUUUAGCCUUGCGGCCGUACUCCCCAGGCGGGACACUUAUCGCGUUGGCUGCGGCACGGACAGAUUCGACUCCGCCCACACCUAGUGUCCAUCGUUUACGGCGUGGACUAC
rnacentral:misc_RNA from 1 species